GACUCUACCCUCGUCAAGUUGCAACCUUGAUUAAAGCGCAUAAUAGCGCUAGAGUCU
rnacentral:tRNA from 1 species